rnacentral:rRNA from 1 species
AGAGUUUGAUCCUGGCUCAGAUUGAACGCUGGCGGCAUGCCUUACACGUGCAAGUCGAACGGUAACAGGUCUUCGGACGCUGACGAGUGGCGAACGGGUGAGUAAUACAUCGGAACGUGCCCAGUCGUGGGGGAUAACUACUCGAAAGAGUAGCUAAUACCGCAUACGAUCUGAGGAUGAAAGCGGGGGACCUUCGGGCCUCGCGCGAUUGGAGCGGCCGAUGGCAGAUUAGGUAGUUGGUGGGAUAAAAGCUUACCAAGCCGACGAUCUGUAGCUGGUCUGAGAGGACGACCAGCCACACUGGGACUGAGACACGGCCCAGACUCCUACGGGAGGCAGCAGAAGGG